rnacentral:rRNA from 1 species
UACGAAGGGGGCUAGCGUUGUUCGGAAUUACUGGGCGUAAAGCGUGCGCAGGCGGCUUCUCAAGUCAGGGGUGAAAGCCCAGAGCUCAACUCUGGAACUGCCUUUGAGACUGAGAGGCUUGAGUACGGGAGAGGUGAGUGGAAUUCCCAGUGUAGAGGUGAAAUUCGUAGAUAUUGGGAAGAACACCGGUGGCGAAGGCGGCUCACUGGCCCAUUACUGACGCUGAGGCACGGAAAAGCGA